CACGUAGGUGGCAUCGUAAGUCAAAGGUGAAAGCCCUCGGCUCAACCGAGGAAUUGCCUUUGAAACUGCCUUGCUUGAGUCCGGGGAGGGGGGGAGCGGAAUUCCCAGUGUAGCGGUGAAAUGCGUAGAUACUGGGAGGAACACCGGUGGCGAAGGCGGCUCCCUGGACCGGUACUGACACUGAGGUGCGAAAGCGUGGGUAGCAAACA
rnacentral:rRNA from 1 species